CAAAAUAUAGCUUAACCAAAAAGCAUUCAGCUUACACCUGAAAGAUGUCUACUAAAACAGGACUAUUUUGA
rnacentral:tRNA from 1 species